UACAGAGGUGGCAAGCGUUGUUCGGAAUUACUGGGCGUAAAGGGCGCGUAGGCGGUUUUGUAAGUCCCGCGUGAAAUCCCCCGGCUCAACUGGGGAACUGCGCGGGAAACUGCAAGGCUUGAGUUCGGGAGAGGGAAGCGGAAUUCCGGGUGUAGCGGUGAAAUGCGUAGAUAUCCGGAGGAACACCGGUGGCGAAGGCGGCUUCCUGGACCGACACUGACGCUGAGGCGCGAAAGCUAGGGGGAGCAAACGGG
rnacentral:rRNA from 1 species